AGAGUUUGAUCCUGGCUCAGAUUGAACGCUGGCGGCAGGCCUAACACAUGCAAGUCGAGCGGAUGAAGGGAGCUUGCUCCCGGAUUCAGCGGCGGACGGGUGAGUAAUGCCUAGGAAUCUGCCUGGUAGUGGGGGACAACGUUCCGAAAGGAGCGCUAAUACCGCAUACGUCCUACGGGAGAAAGUGGGGGAUCUUCGGACCUCACGCUAUCAGAUGAGCCUAGGUCGGAUUAGCUAGUAGGUGGGGUAAUGGCUCACCUAGGCGACGAUCCGUAACUGGUCUGAGAGGAUGAUCAGUCACACUGGAACAUGAGACACGGUCCAGACUCCUACGGGAGGCAGCAGUGGGGAAUAUUGGACAAUGGGCGAAAGCCUGAUCCAGCCAUGCCGCGUGUGUGAAGAAGGUCUUCGGAUUGUAAAGCACUUUAAGUUGGGAGGAAGGGCAGCUAAGUUGAAUACCU
rnacentral:rRNA from 1 species